UUGGAGGGCAAGUCUGGUGCCAGCAGCCGCGGUAAUUCCAGCUCCAAUGGCGUAUAUUAAAGUUGUUGCAGUUAAAAAGCUCGUAGUUGAAUUUCGGGGUUAGUAAGUUGGUCAUGCCUCUGGUAUGAACUGGCUUUACUGAUUCCUCCUUCUUGAUGAACUGUAAUGUCAUUAAUUUGGUGUUGCAGGGAAUCAGGACUGUUACUUUGAAAAAAUUAGAGUGUUUAAAGCAGGCAUACGCUUGAAUACAUUAGCAUGGAAUAAUGAAAUAGGACGUUUGAUCCUAUUUUGUUGGUUUCUAGGAUUGACGUAAUGAUUAAUAGGGAUAGUUGGGGGCAUUAGUAUUCAAUUGUCAGAGGUGAAAUUCUUGGAUUUAUUGAAGACUAACUACUGCGAAAGCAUUUGCCAAGGAUGUUUUCAUUAAUCAAGAACGAAAGUUAGGGGAUCGAAGACGAUCAGAUACCGUCGUAGUCUUAACCAUAAACUAUGCCGACUAGGGAUCGGAUGAUGUUAUUUUUAAUGACUCAUUCGGCGCCUUACGGGAAAC
rnacentral:rRNA from 1 species